GACGGGCUUCGCACAAAGAUGAGGAACCCGAGAAGAAGAGAGAGAGAAACGUAUGCUGUAGAGAGAAGGAGCAGGGCUCCUGGACAGCGGACAACAGUCGCUUCAAGGAUUCAGGGAGGUCUUCUAAGAGAGAGAACUUUUGUGAGAAGAACUUUCUGUGAGAGAGAAAUUAGGUGUACGAGGGUUGAGGGUGAGAUCUCCUCUUGUAAAAUUUUUUUCAUAGUGAAGUUUGCAUACCCC
rnacentral:lncRNA from 1 species